GAGCAGGGUACUGAGCACAAGUUGCAUUUACUGGAAAUAUGAGGAACAAAUAAAAGGUACUAUCUUGGAAAAAGCCACAAUUAAAGGCUACUUGGAAUAUUUGUCUCACCUAAGAAGUUUUCGUAAUGAGAACAUGGACAGAAUUUCAAGGAUUUAAUUGGCUUUGGAUAUUAUUCACUCCUGGGCAUCUGCCUUCUCAACUUAAG